UAUCUAGUUUAAAAGAAGCAACCCUACUGGACACCUCGCGUGCUUCUCCUCUAACGUCGCUUACAAGGAGGACCCAAGCUUCACAGCUCUGCUUAAUAAAGUCUCUCAGUUCAACAAGUAUGUUCAUAAGAACAGACGGACAUUUUAAGAUAAAGUCGUCAACUGAUUGCAAGCCAAGAAUAUAUAUACUUCAUGCUCUCGAAGCUACCUUCUUGUGCCAGCUACAAAGCCACAAAACCAAUAUAACCCUGUCCGGGCAUAAAAACCAUGCGGAAUUCUCAAUGAUGAACGGCAGCAAAAAAAAAAAUUGAAAGAAAAACAACGCGACGUCAACAGUUAAAUAGCUUAAACGGGCAGCAAUUAUUGGAUUGGCAGGUCAUCUGGCUGAAAUGGGCUGAAACGCGGCCGGUUUGCUGACAAUGGCUUACAACUCAUUACAUACUCGAGCUGGCCGCUUAUUUUCCAACGUUUUUAAUGAGGCAGACGACUAUUUUUCACUUGACGUCCUCCUGCGGCGCAAUUUGCAUGUGCAAACAUAUUUGUAUACAGUCGUUGUCGUCGUCGUCGUCGUCGGUUGGGCUCACAAACAAACGCAGGCAUAAAUAAUCGAACAAAGUAUGGCAAGCUAUAAAUAUUUAAGCCCGGUAGGGUGUUCCUUGUGUUCCUUGGCGCUGCCAAGAUGCACAGCAUACGCUGCCGAGACGCUCGGUUCACACAAAUUUCAUGCAGCCAACAAUGAAGCGCAAUAAUAUAGGCAACAGCAGCAAUGUUGCAGCCACAACAGAAACUGCAACAACAGCAACAACAACUACAACUACAAAAAGAGCAACAACUGCAACAAUAAACAAGCAGCGCAAUUUCACUGACUACUGAGAACUUUACGUACUGUGACGAGGCGAAUACUGCCCAGCUCAGGCUCAGGCACAGCUCUCGGGCAAACUUCAACUGCAACUGCACUGCACAAAACUCCGAAAUAAAAAUUAAAACAAGAAAGGAAAAUUUUUUAAAGAAUGACGAAUAUCAAACGCCCUAACACACACACACACACACACACACACACACAAUGGAAGCUGUAUCAUAUGCGGCUUAAACUUGGAAUUCGAAAAUGAAAAAAUGGAAGAACAAUUGUCAAAAGAAUAGCGCAUAUCAAAUGCCCUAACAUUAUGCGGAAGAAAACUCAAUGCACAAGCGAUUUUAACAAUGGAUAAUAUAUUUAAGGCGGCUAGGAAUUCCAAAAACUAAGAAAUUAAAUGAAAAUUCUCUAAAGAGUGCCGAAUAUCAAAUACCCUCCAAUAUUAAAGAAAAAACUCUAUUUACAAGCGACUAGAGCAAUGGAUAACAAUGGAUGUGGAU